GACCCCUGGAAGAUGACCAGGUAGAUAGGCUGGAGGUGUAAGUGUGGUAACACAUUGAGCUGACCAGUACUAAUCGGUCGAGGGCUUAAUCUC
rnacentral:rRNA from 1 species